rnacentral:rRNA from 1 species
UACGAAGGGGGCUAGCGUUGUUCGGAGUUACUGGGCGUAAAGGGCGCGUAGGCGGCCCUCCAAGUCGGGUGUGAAAUCCCUCGGCUCAACCGAGGAACUGCGCCCGAAACUACCGUGCUCGAGGGAGAUAGAGGUGAGCGGAACUUAGGGUGGAGCGGUGAAAUGCGUUGAUAUCCUAAGGAACACCGGUGGCGAAAGCGGCUCACUGGAUCUCUUCUGACGCUGAGGCACGAAAGCUAGGGUAGCGAACGGG